GAGUGAUCUUUGCUGGACGCGCCUCGGCGCACCCAGAAACCCUUUGUGAACUUAUACCUUACUGUUGCCUCGGCGCAGGCCGGCCUCCCUGGAGGCCCCUCUGAGAGGAGGAGCAGCCCGCCGGCGGCCAACUAAACUCUUGUUUCUUAGUGAAUCUCUGAGUAAAAAAACAUAAUGAAUCAAAACUUUCAACAACGGAUCUCUUGGUUCUGGCAUCGAUGAAGAACGCAGCGAAAUGCGAUAAGUAAUGUGAAUUGCAGAAUUCAGUGAAUCAUCGAAUCUUUGAACGCACAUUGCGCCCUCUGGUAUUCCGGAGGGCAUGCCUGUUCGAGCGUCAUUUCAACCCUCAAGCACUGCUUGGUGUUGGGGCACCGCCUGUAAAAGGGCGGGCCCUGAAAUCUAGUGGCGAGCUCGCCAGGACCCCGAGCGUAGUAGUUACAUCUCGCUCUGGAAGGCCCUGGCGGUGCCCUGCCGUUAAACCCCCAACUUCUGAAAUUUUGACCUCGGAUCAGGUAGGAAUACCCGCUGAACUUAAGCAUAUCAUUUAAGCGGAGGAGGGAAACCCCUGGCCCACAAACUUGGGAAUAAUCUUAUGUGCCGGCCAGCGCUGGAGCUCUAGAGAGGACCCCCGCAUACUCGUUCUAAGAAUCUGAAAAAAAUAAGAAAUAAAUUCAAGAAUUUGGUUCGCUAUAAAA
rnacentral:rRNA from 1 species